rnacentral:rRNA from 1 species
UACGGGGGGGGCAAGCGUUGUUCGGAAUUACUGGGCGUAAAGGGCUCGUAGGUGGCCAACUAAGUCAGACAUGAAAUCCCUCGGCUUAACCGGGGAACUGCGUCUGAUACUGGAUGGCUAGAGUUUGGGAGAGGGAUGCAGAAUUCCAGGUGUAGCGGUGAAAUGCGUAGAUAUCUGGAGGAAUACCGGUGGCGAAGGCGGCCUUCUGGACAGUGACUGACGCUGAGACGCGAAAGCGUGGGGAGCAAACAGG